CCCCAAAUGAGCCCACGGCUGCAGCUUCCAGCUUUGGUCGCCAAAGGAGGCUUGCUGGAAGAUGCUGGGCAGCCCAGGGGUCUGCAACUGCGGCUUUGCCUGGAGCAUGUGUGGGCUGGGCUUGGGCUGAGUGUCCGAUGGCUGGGCAGACCUCAGUACCUGAGCAAGACUGCCCUUUACCCUCCCCGAGAGAGGCCCCAUCGACUGGGGCCAUAAAUCAGCCACGGUAACUCUCAUCAGGGCCAAGUUUGGCACGACAGUUGCUGGCUCCCGUGUGAAUGGGAUGAGGGGUCAGAGAGCAAAGCUGGUUAAAAUAGCGUCCCGCCCCCAGGCCUGGAAGUGCCUGCUCGUGGGGCCGGGUCGCGCUGGGAGAUGCUCCUGUUAAUGACGGAAGACCGUGAUCGAAGUUACUUUAAUACGUGAGACUCCAACACCGAUGGUGUUCAAGCCUCAAAAUGCACGACAGCCGGCAGUGAAGAGGGCCUGGCCUGGGCUCCCAGAACAACGAUGGGGGCCCCUUUGCACUGGCCUGGAGGGAGCACAGACGCACGGCAGGAGGUCCAGCGCCAAAGGAGAACACCCACGGCUGAGCGCUUUCAAGCCAAGGUCUGGACCAAUGAACACAUGGAAUUGGGCUUUGACUUUCUGCGGCCUUGCCCCAGAAAAAGAUGACACAGGCUCCCUGGAGAGAUCACUGUGAUGAACGCUAGUGGGCAUUUGCUCCAUUCAUUCGUUCAUUCACUCAUUCACCCAAUAUUUUUCCAGGGCCUGCCGGAUCCGUCACCGUUUAGAGGGACCGAAUCUCUGUCAUCAGGGAGUUUCAAUUCUCUCGGGGGAGACAGCCAAUCAGAGAAUAAGGAAAUAACCGUCACGUUUGUAAGGGACCAAUAUUAGGGAGCAAAAUGAAUAGCUUUUACCAAAAAAGAAGAAAAUGAAGGAAGGGCUUAGUGAGACGUGUGUUAGAUCCGACAGGGUGCAGAAUUUGCAUUUUAAUACGCUCCAUCAGCAGCUGGGUGGAAAGGCUGUGCCACAUGCCACGGGGGAUGGAGAGAGCACAAAGAGGUGGGGUCCCCUCUUCAGGGAGUGUGUGGCCCGGCCGAGGGGGCGGUUCUUACACAAAUGUAAUGAGUACCCUUUAAUGGGAACAUGUUACCUGCCAGCCUUUUACAUGGGUUAUCUCGUGUAAUCCCCACAGCUACCC
rnacentral:lncRNA from 1 species